AUUGAACGCUGGCGGUAGGCCUAACACAUGCAAGUCGAACGAGUGGCGGACGGGUGAGUAAUGUCUGGGAAACCGCCGGAUGGAGGGGGACAACUACUGGAAACGGUAGCUAAUACCGCAUACCCUCAGAUGUGCCCAGAUGGGAGUAGCUUGUUGGUGGGGUAACGGCUCACCAAGGCGACGAUCCCUAGCUGGUCUGAGCGGAAUACCAGGCACACUGGAACGGAGACACGGUCCAGAAUCCUACGGGAGGUAGCAGUGGGGAAUAUUGCACACUGGGCCCAGGCCUGAUGCAGCUGUGGCUCGUGUAUAAAGAAGACCUUCGGGUUGUAGAGUACUUUCAGCGGCGAAGCUUUACCCGCGGAUGAAGCACCGGCUAACUCCGCGCCAGCAGCCGCGGUAAUUC
rnacentral:rRNA from 1 species